rnacentral:misc_RNA from 1 species
GAUGAAGAACGUAGCAAAAUGCGAUACUUGGUGUGAAUUGCAGAAUCCCGUGAACCAUCGAGUUUUUGAACGCAAGUUGCGCCCGAAGCCUUUUGGCCGAGGGCACGUCUGCCUGGGCGUCACGCAUCGUGUCGCCCCCCACAAAUUCUCCGUCAGGGGAGCUUGUGUUUCGGGGGCGGAUACUGGUCUCCCGUGCUCAUGGCGCGGUUGGCCGAAAUAGGAGUCCCUUCGAUGGACGCACGAACUAGUGGUGGUCGUAAAAACCCUCGUCUUUUGUUUCGUGCCGUUAGUCGCGAGGGAAGCUCUUCAAAAACCCCAACGCGUCGUCUCUUGACGGCGCUUCGACCGCGACCCCAGGUCAGGCGGGACUACCCGCUGAGUUUAAGCAUAUCAUAAGCGGAGGA